AUCUGGCUUUCUUGAGGAAAAUGAAAAUCAAAGGGAACAGGUAUCUACCACCUGCAAUAACAUCGCGCAUUAGCACGCACUAUACUAAAUUAGCAAAAAACAUUUUCAAAAUCGAUAAAUAACCAAAUUAUCACAAGUACAUUUUUAUUUUUAAAAAUAACUUUGUAUUACACACUUUACACUCCAGAAAGGUGAUUCUAAAAAUGACAUCACAAUCGAACAUAACGUUUUUUUAUAAUUAAAUUUUAUAUUGAAAUUUAUAUUAAUAACGGAAAUAUCGCAGUUACUGAAUACAUGAAAACGGUGUAAAAGAAGAUAUAAUGUUGAUAAAGUCCAGGAAAAGUAAAGAAGAGGAAGAGAAGUGAGCAUUUCAUGUGAGAUUUGCCUAGUGGACUCGUUUUCAAACAUUUUAACAAGCCUGUACCUUAGACACGAGGACAUUUAAAAUAGGAACUAUUAUACGAGAAACUACAGAUUCGCCGAGCGCUUGUAAGGAAGCCAAAAUUGUAGAUUGUUGUACGUCGCUAGCGGCGACGAGCUAUAGUAAGAACAAAUCGCCACAAAAACAAUACUGCUAGCACCAUCUGAUGAGCAAGUGAGAGAUUAUCGAACCAAUUGUACUUUUUCGGAAAAUAGUUAUUUUUUCGUUUUGUUAACACCUGUACUAUAAGUGACUACGUUUCCAUCGAGAGUCCAAAUCGGGUCAGAGUCGGGUUAGAGUCGGGUUGGGGUCAGCGCUUGUACGGUGGAAACGCCAAAGGUUUAGUUGAACUCUACCCUACAAAAUUUUAGGGUAGCGUUCA